UACGAAGGGGGCUAGCGUUGCUCGGAAUCACUGGGCGUAAAGCGCACGUAGGCGGAUUGUUAAGUCAGGGGUGAAAUCCUGGAGCUCAACUCCAGAACUGCCUUUGAUACUGGCGAUCUCGAGUCCGGGAGAGGUGAGUGGAACUGCGAGUGUAGAGGUGAAAUUCGUAGAUAUUCGCAAGAACACCAGUGGCGAAGGCGGCUCACUGGGACGGUAUUGACGCUGAGACGCGAAAGCGUGGGGAGCAACAGGG
rnacentral:rRNA from 1 species